UUGAAUGUUCUGUCCUCUUGCAGCUCUGUCCCCCAGCAGUGACCUAAGUGCCACAUUCCACACCCCUCCUUGGAGGAGACCCUCAAUAGAAACAAGCCCAGUUGAAUGCCAGGUAGUCACCCUCAUGGCAUUCCUGUUCAGAUGGGUGGGGAAUCAUUGAGAAUAGAGGUUCCUACCUGACAAGGCCUGGGCCCCUGUGUUACAGGGGGAGUGGAGGUCUUCAUUGGAGUGAAUGGUCUGCUCAAAGAUUGUACGAAACAGGAGCAGGAGGGACAGCAGAGCUGACUAGGCAGUCUGGAACUCUCCCUCUCUCCAGUCUGGGCCCCAGGUCCAUGGCAGCAGCACCCGGCCUAUGGAAUUGGUUGAGAAAUAGGGUUCUCUUCUUCCCUUCCAUUGGAAAACUCUCAGAUUGAUUUAGGCCUGUUAUUAAUUGCUAGAACCUUAGGUGGUGAGCAGUAAGAAAGAAACCAGAUGAUCUUGUCCAGCGUCGUGUUCGCUGGGCCUCUGAGGGAGGGCUGGUGAUCCUCUGUGCCUCACUGUGAAUCCCCAGCUAGGAAGUACCUUGUCAAUCCUGAAGGCUGCAUAGAAGCCAGACACAACUUACACCCCACAGUGAAAGCCAGAUGAUGAUUCUAGUUUGAGAAGUGAAAGGAUGACCAUCUGUUGUGGGCAUCUUCUUCCUCAGUCUCCAUACUAAUCCUGUGGCAUUUCAUGGAUAAGAAUGUCACACUCCCUUUAUGUGUAAUACGUCAAAAUACAUUCUACUCUCAUGUGUAACUAAAAAGAACAAAUUAAAAAUUUUUUUUGAGGAAAGGACGUCGAAGUCCAAGGGAGGUCAAUAUGGGACUCUUGCUCAUGGUAAAGGAAGCAGCUAGAUUCAAAUCCAAAUGUGUCUGGCUCCAGGUCUGUUUAGAAUACUGUGUCAAGCAGCCUCGAGGAUCACCAGCAUAUGUGUUUGUUUGCUCAGUCAAAAAACUGGCAGUGCGAGUGACCACCAUGUCCUGGUUUGCCUGGGACUUUCUUGGCUUCAGCACUGAGAGCUUCAUGGCUUGGCCUCCCUGGCCAGGUGCCUUCCUGACCUGGCCCUUUUUGAGCCAAGGGCUGUGGAGCCCAGGGCUGAGCUGGGAAUGGCCCUGGGUUAGAGCAGGGAGAAGGGAGGAGAGUGAGGAGAAUUGGGUGUUUGUGUCCCUACUCUCAAACAGACCCCUUUGUCCAGGCAGAGACUGUCAUCCAGUAAAAGAGAGCACACAUAUUGCAUAUGUCACAGCCUGUUUCUAUCUUUCAUUCUUUUUUGGUGGUGGUUUUUACACUGGGCUCCUCACCAGGUAAGGGCUGAAUCUUUUCCACCUUUGAGAGCUCCUGGCCUGAGACUUACUUUGCUUGACCCUCCCAUCCCACCUACGUAUCCCACCUACGUUGGAUAAUCAAAGGAGUGGUACCCUUUGGCCCAAUUACUAUUUGACCUUCAGAUUAAGGAGGGAGGCAUGCAGAUUGCUGGAUGAGGCCUUUCUCCUUGUCUUCUGCACUGUUUUUGCUCAGGUCACCAGAGCAGGUUGGGUUAGACAGAGCUGGUCUGUCAGGUGGGCAGGGAUGAUGAGGAGGGGUCUGGAGAAGGGGCUUGGGCUGUAGCCCACCUCCAGCCCUCAGCUCUCCAUGCAUUGGUCCUGGAGCCAGGUUUUUUAUGAGGAAGCUUGAAACCUUUCCUGGAGGCGCUACACCCAUGGAGUCUGUCCUUCCUGGAGGCCUGCUGUUCCUGGAGGCCUCUGCCACUGUAUUGUUAAUGUUGAGCCCCGGUUUGAUUUGUGCUCAGGAGUCUGAGCUUGUAGCUGGGCUCCUGCAGGAGACUCAUGAAAGAUGCAUUUCGCCAUGCAGUUCCAGGGGAGAGACUGGCUUAAAUUACAGCUCUACAAAUCCAAAUAUUGGCAUAUCUGCAAAUCCAAACGUAGGGAUUUUUUUUUAAAAAAAAAAUCUGAAUUCUAAGAAUCGUAUUCUGCACUUCUUGUGUGAGAAAGGGAGGAUGAGAUAUUCAGACAAGGCUGUCAAUAAUGAGAGAAUCUGCGGCAGAGCAAAACCGACCUCCUGUUCUUUCCCUGGGCAUUUUUCAUGCUUCCGGGAAAGAGGAGCUCUGACGAGAGAGAAGCCAGCCUUGGUUCAGCAUGGCUUUCUGCAGCCCAGGCUUGGGGGACCUCUACCCAGCACUCGGUAGAGGAGGGGCUCAGCAAGCCUAGUUGGUCAAUCCAUCUUCUUUCCCCCAUCUCUAGGCCAGGGGCCAAGGGAUCCCCGGGGGUCAUUCACAACACUGCAGUCCAUUUACAACAGAGCAGCCCUGGGGAUCCUGUGGGAUUCUGAGUCCAGCCAGGCUGUUCCUCUGCUCCAAGCCCUCCCCCCACUCGUCAUCUCCUUUGGAGAGGGCGGGAGUUCCUGUGGUCUCCAAGGCCCUGCCUGACCUGCCCUCACCUUUCUGUCUCUGACACCCCUGUCACUCUUACCUGCAGACACACUGGGUCUUUGUUCUGGCCUUUUCCCCGUGGCAUACCAGGGCAGGCAUAUUGCUUGCCCAGAAUUCCAGCAUUUACUGUUCCUCCUACCUGGAACACCUCCUUCCAGGUACCUUCAUGGCCUGUCCCCUUAAAUCAACUCAGAUGUCAGCUUCCUGCUAAGCCUGCUCUGGCCACUUCACUUGAAAUUGCCCUCCCAUACACACUCCUUAUCCCCUGCAAUGAUUUGGAUGUGGUUUGUCCCUGAAAGAUUCCAGUAUUAGAGGCUUGGUCUUCUGUGGGGUGUUGGGGCCUUUAAGAGGUGGGGCCUACUGAGAGUUGGUUAGGUUAUUGGGAGCACAGCCCCUCAGAAGGGUUUAAGGCAGUUCUGGGAUCUGGUUAGUUCCAAAGAGAGUUGUUAUAAAUGAGUGAGCCUGACCUGUCAACUCUUCUCUGGUUUCUUCUCCUGCUAUGUCAUCCCUCUCUCAGAUACUUCCAUUAUUGUGAUACCUUCAAUCAUGAGGCUUUCACCAGAGCUGACCAGAAGCUGAAGCCAUAGUUUUGGACCUCUGAAACUGUGAGAUAAAUAACCCUCCUUUUUUAAAAAAAAUAAGUAUCCAGUCUCAAGUAUUUUGUUACAGCAAUGGAAAAUGGACCAAUACAUCCCCUGUCCUUUUCUAUUAUCACAUAUUCUAUUAAUUUAUCAUCUUUUAAUAUUCUAUAUAUUUUACGAAUUUAUUUUUAUUUAUCAUCUUUCCCAGGAUAGAAGCUCUAUGAAGUCAGAGAUCUUUGUUUUGUCACUAGGGUAUCCUCAGCUCCAGCAAUAGUUCUUGGCACAAGCUAGGCUCAAUAAAUUUUAGUUAGGUGAAAAAGUGAAAGGGUUUUUAUAGGUUGUUUCUCUUCAUCUUCACAGGUCUUAUUGAUAAAGAAUUAUUCUCAAUUUACAAAUAAGGAAAUUAAUUUUAAAACUUACUAAAUGCUUGUAAUACGCCAGACACGAUAGUCUAUGCAGUUGAGUCUCAGAGGGUUAAGAAAUUGGGCCCAGGUAAUAAGGCUAAGUUCAUCAGAAAAUACAACACUACGCUGUCCCAUGCAGUAGCCUCUGUCACAGGUGGCUGUGGAGCAUCUGAAAUGUCACUAGUCAGAACUGUUUUGUAUCAUAAAUAAACACAAAAAUUCACUCUGAAUUACGACUUAUUGGGUCAUAUGGAUAAUAUUAUUAAAAUUAAUAUCAUGCUGUUUCUUUUUUACUUUCUUCAAUGUGGCCUCUGUAGAAACUUAAAUUGCAUGUGCGGUAGCUGGCACGUUGGGCUGCACCCUAUUUCUAUUGGAUGACACUCACUCUGCUAUCUAUUUGCAUUCCACCUUGGUCUCUGUCUUCAAGUGCAUUUCCUCUUGGACUCUUGAGGGCAAAAGCUCAGUGACCUUGUCUUUCCUAUAAGAGCAAAGAUAUGCAGAAUGCAUCAACAAGUCUCAGAGGUCCUAAAACACCUGUCUUAGUUCAUGCGGUUAUAACAAUGAAAAAUAGACAAGGUGGUUUUAUAAACAACAGACGUUCAUUUCUCAAGUUCUAAAAUCUGGAAGGCAGAGAUCAGGGCACCAGGCUGGUUGGAUCCUAGUGAGGGCCAUCUUUUGGGUUGCAGACUGCCACCUUCUGGUUGUACCUCGUAUGGCAGAAAGAGGACAGAAGAGCUCUCUGGGACUGUUGUCUAAGAACAGUAACCCCAUUCCUGUGGGUUCCACCCUCAAAACUUAUCACCUCCCCAGGGCCCUACCUCCAAUGCCAUCACAUUGGAGGUAGGAAUCGCCAUGCUGGUUGGGGAGGAGACGAACUUUCAGUUCAUAACAACAUCUAAAGAAUGUAUGUCUCGCUCUAAGGACAUCACUUUUAAUGAGCAGUGGAAAGAGGGUGGAAGAGGCCUCCAGGUAUGAUGUGUCUUGUGCGGCUUCUUAAUAAAACAGGCAGCCCCUGCACAAACCUGAGAGUUGGUCCUGUGAGGGAGAAAUCCCCAGUGAUAUGGAGGUGAAUGAUGCUGACAGUCUCAGGGCUGGGCACUCACCCUAGCACAAUAUUGGGUACAUUCUCAUUGUCUACUCCCUGUCAACUGAAAGCAGCUUUCUGGGCAGCAUGUGGCUACCUUUAUGGACAUGCUUCAACAGAAUCCAGGUUCAAUAGUAGCAGCUAAUGCUUGUUGAGUGCUCAUCCUAUCCAGCAGCAUUCUGAGAGCUGGGCAUGCAAUCAGUCCCUCAUGCAAUCCUCACCUGCAAUGUCAACGCGAUUCUCAGUUUCCUCACUUUUCAAAGGAGAAAACAGAGACAUAACAGACAGCAGGCAAUGCCAGGUGGGAGUAACUUCUGCACCCACCUGGCCCAGACACUAAUGGGUAGAGCCUAGUCCCUUUUACCCCAGUUUCUCUGAAUGCUCAAGUCAUCCCCUGGAGCCCGGGGCCCAGUGCCGAGGCCUAUUCUUCACAGGCUUCCCACCUCACCUCCUGCUGGUUCCCCAUUGGCCCACCCUGCCCCAGGCCUUGGCUUCCUGACCACAGGAAGCUCAAGGUUGCUGCAGACCUUGAGGUGACUAUUUCCUGGACUUGGAGGGCUCCCAUCCUGUUAUUCCCAAAGCUGAAUUCUUUGCAUUCCUUAUGCUUUCAGCUUGAGUCCUCCAGAGGCCUUUGCCUGCCAGUUUGUUCUCCCCCCAUUCCUCCCUGGGCCUCGGGGUGUCUCUGCACAACACUUCCAAGCAGUGACCUUAUUUCUUAUUUAUCCUCAUUCCUGGUCCCUGUAGGAGCCUUGCUUUCCCAGGUCACUCUUGGACCCUGUGUAAUGACCUCUGCCCAGUAAGUACUUAAUGAAUACGUGCAGAAUAAAUGAAUCUGCUCAGAUGAGCCAGCCUGUCUUAUUCUGUUCUCCUUCAGAAAAUCAUUUUCAGUAUUGGUCAGAUUUGUGAAACCAAGGUGUUGAGUGGUACCAGGAGAAAGCUAAUAAAGUGGAGGUCAAAGAAGAAAUAGGAAAAAAAAUAAAAAGAAACUCUGAGAAGAAGAAGAUAAUAAGGGCCUAUUAAGUAGAACAGAUUCAAGAGAGGGUUUUUCUAAGUUUUCAUCCGGAGCGGGGCUUGAUGGCCUAGUGAAGGAUAGGUGGAGUUCUCAGGGUGCAUGUCCAGGACUUGCCUUUGGUUAAAGGACAGGGCCUGGCCCUGGGCCCUGUGACCAAAGCUGAGUGUGUUCCUCUGGACACUGCAGCCCAGCUGAGCCUGGCCAUCCAGUUCCAGGGGUCCUUACUGGACACUUGCUUUCUGCCAUGCCUCUUGCUCCGUGGGUGAGUUGGCAUGAGAAGGUGACUAAGAUGGGAUCCCCCCUGUAGAAGCUCACAUCCCCUCACACCAAUAGCACUUUCUGGGUGUCCAGGAAACGUUUUUAAAGUAAUGGAUUCAUGAGUGCAGAGAGUUUGGCCUUUGUCUUUAGGGCCUGGAAAGUAACUGGGGAUACCAAACAGAAUGUUUGGAGACAGAGCUACAAGUUAAGUAGAACAGCUGCGGACUUACCUUUUGCAAACUGGAGUGGCUCUAAUCACUCCAUUCAUAGCUUUGAACCAGCAAGAAGAUGAAGUUUUGUCUCUGAGGUGGCAGCAGGACUUACUUUGUGACAGGCACUUUGUCACCUGGCAAACCCUCCCUGCCACCUCACAGGGUGUUAUGAUGCGCCUACCUAUUCUAUGGCAGGGUAAGGUGGACCUCCAUACUGGACUCAUCACCAUCUGGACUGGCUGAUUUUAGGUGUAAACCUGACUAGAUUAAGAAACCUGGGAAGGUGGUAAAACAGUUACCAGUCACUUCUGAGUGUGGCUGAGAGGUUGUUUCCAGGGGAGACAGUGUGACAGUGGACCAAGUGGGGACAAUCGAUGGGUACAGGCACCAUCUAAUGAACUGGGGACCAGAUGGCACAAAGGAAGCAGCGAAAGCUGAUUCCCCCCAACCCCCUUCUUGCGCUGGGACACUCUUCUACCUCAGACAGCAGAACUCCAGGUUGUGUGGCCUUUGGGCUCCAGGACAAACACCAGUGGCCCCUUGAAUUCUCAGACUGAGAGUUGCACCAUCAACUGCUCUGGUGCUGAAGCUUUUGGACUUGAACUGGACUACGCCACCAGCAUCCCAAGAUCUUCAGCCGGUAGACAACUUGUCGUGAGACUUCUCAGUCUCUAUAACUUGUGAGCAUAUUCCCCUAAUAAAUCCCUUCUCAUUUACUUACUUACUGUCUGUCUGCCUUUUAUCUACCUACCUACCUAUCUCUCUAUCCAUCCAUCCAUCAUUUACUGGUUUAGUCUCUCUGGAGAAUGCUAAUAUGCCAGAGCUGGAAACUCCAACAACCAAUGGAAUGUGGACCCAGGUGGAUUGGAGUCUAAGGCCACGAUGCACAAGGUCCCUUCUUCAUCCUGCUAUUUGCACAGACCACAGAAGGAGCUUCCAGGUACAUCUUAGGAGCUCCCAGGCUCCCCUGGCACAGGACACUCAAGCCAUCUCCCUGACCCACUGCUCUCCAUGUUGGUGCAAAUCAUAUGAAAAAGCACAGACUCUGUCAGGUGUCUGCCUUACCUCUGGAAGUCUGUCUCUUCACCAGCUCUCGUGAAUGAACAGUUGUUUCAGAGUGUGACUGUCCCUUGGUGUGUGGACAACCUGGCUAAAGGUGGCUUCAUACUUUAAUGAAAAGAAGUGGACUGUGGAAGACCUUGGGGGGUGAGGAGGAGGGAAUGUUCCAGAGAAGGCCAGACUAGCCAAGGAGGUGAUUUCUGCAUGUUCAUUAAGGCGCAAGCUGGGUUCUUCCCCCUGACUCUGGCUUCAGUGGCAGUGGCUUGGGAGAGCUGAACUGGAUGGAGGGAACUUGCUGUUUUUGAGAAUGAGAUAGCUGUAAACCCUACAGACAUUGUUCCUGGGACAACCUGUGACCCCAGGGCUGAGAAGCACCCUGCGAGAGCAGAAGCCCCAGACUACCUCAGAGGCACUUGACAGGUCUUGUGCAUUCUGCCCUUAACCAGUCCUGUCAAUCAGUGCUCUAAUUUACCCAUGAUCAUCUAUGGCAGGUGAAGACCCAGAGUUUUAGGAGCUAAUCACCACCCCAAGAUCUCACAGCUAAUCAGGCCGAGUCACCAGGUGACAGAGGUUCUCUGCCCAUUGCCCUACUCUGCCUGGAAGGAAAGGAACAAGAACUUCCACACCAGCAGGCGCUGGCAAGUCAUUAUCUUAGUGAAGUGGUUUUUGAAACAGUGGCUGCAGCAGAAUAGGCCUCGGGGCUUGUAAAACACUAUUGUUUAACCCCACCAUGCUGAGCCCCACCAUGCUGAUUCUAUAGCUUGGGGACAGGGCCUGAGAAUUUGCUUUUCUGUGGCGUUUCCAGAUGAUACAGAAGCUUGGGUUGUGGAGAACACUUUGAGAAACACUCUUUCAAAAUAAGGAGAUUAGAGAUUUUAUUCCGUGAUUUUAGUGUCAAAUAUGAUGGAAGCAGCCAAUAUAUUGUUUUCUUGUAUUUUUUUUUUUUAGUUUUAAUAACAUACAUUAGUAAAUAUCCAGCUAUGGCAUCUAUUUUAAACAAAUAAGGGAUAUGGCUUUGUGGCUCACACAGGCUAGAAAGAGUAAGUUCACUUCACAGUGUGGAUUGUGGAGAUGACCACAGUACUCCCCAGAGGAAGGACCAAGUCAGUAGGUAUGACUCUGUGUGUCCAAGUGACAGAAACAACUCAAGUCGUCUCUCCUGAGAUCGUCUUAGGCUGUAUGUAAUUGACACCUUCGUCAGGUGUCUUGGAACCGAUUCCUGUUUUUCUUGUACAACAGCAUUUCUGGAGUUAGAGUGUCACUAGGAUUGCUUCAGGGGUUCACCAGUAUCAGGUCUGGCAUCUCUGUGAUCCUUAUCAAUUUUCUCUUUUGAACUCAUGGUCUCAAAAUGCUGUUGUGGCUCCAGUCAUCAUAUCUGUGUUUAUGUAAGGUAGAAAACAAAAAAAGGAAAGAAUGUUAUCUACUUGAUCAAUUGAUUAUAUCUUUUGUGGCUUCAACUGUAUCAUAGCCAAGGAAAUGGAUAGAAUAAAUAGUUGGGAAAAUUGCCUCUGUAUAUGAAAUCAGGGUUUUACAGUCAAGGGAGAUGAAGCCAAUGGAUAUUAGGAAUUCCUUUAAUUACCUUGCUAUAGCAGCAGGGAGAUGCUGCCUACUUGAGACAGACAAGGAUGGGGUGGCUUUAAAGAGUGGCAAGAGGUACCUUUUCCUGUAUAACAAGCCACUCCAAAACAUAGUGACCUUUAAAGUUUAAAGUUCAGAU